AAAUAUCUUUAUUUCACUAUCGAAGAUGAAAGUUGCUUUCAAACCUUGGCUUAUUGGUUUUUUUAUGCUCACAAUUUUUCUGUUUGGUGAAACGGCGAUAGCUCAGAAAAAAAAAACUGACAACCAAUGUAAUCUUCCAUUAAUAAACAAAAGUGGAACAUGUGCUGCCAACCAGUGUCAAGCCGCAUGUGUCAAAAGGCAUAAAGAUGGGGUAGGUAAAUGCACAACUAAUCCAGACAAAAAAAUGCGAUGCAUAUGUUUUUAUCUUUGCCCUCGCUGAUUCUUUAUCUACACAAAAUUCAAAUAAUAUUUAUAUUAAUAUUAUGUCUUCGUCAAAGAAAAGAAUAAAAGUUUUAAUAAAUUGUUGUUGAUUUUUGGGAUAAUAAGGUGUAUUCAAUGUUUUAAAACU